rnacentral:lncRNA from 1 species
UGCUCUUUGACGAGGUUGAGAAGGCGCACCCUGACGUCUUCAACAUGAUGCUUCAGAUUCUCGAGGAUGGCCGCCUCACCGACUCCAAGGGUCGCGUGGUCGACUUCAAGAACACCCUGAUCAUCCUCACCUCCAACGUCGGCUCCUCCGUCAUCGAGAAGGGCGGCGGCGGCCUCGGCUUCCAGCUCAACGACGACGCCGAGGACACCUCCUACCAGCGCAUCAAGCAGCUCGUCAACGAGGAGCUCAAGAACUACUUCCGCCCCGAGUUCCUCAACCGCCUCGAUGAGAUCAUCGUCUUCCGCCAGCUCAACAAGAACGAGGUGCGCGAGAUUGCCCAGAUCAUGCUCAACC